GGUCUACGGACCUGAAGUGAGUAAUCCCAAGCUUCCAGGAAAAGCCUCUAAGCUUCAGUUCACAACUGACCGUACCGCAAACCGACACAGGUGGGUAGGUAGAGAAUACCAAGGCGCUUGAGAGAACUCGGGUUAAGGAACUCGGCAAAUUGACACCGUAACUUCGGGAGAAGGUGUGCCCCGGUAGCGUGUAGGACUUCGCGUCCGAAGCGUGAUGGGGUCGCAGAGAAUAGGUGGCUGCGACUGUUUAAUAAAAACACAGCUCUGUGCCAACACGAAAGUGGACGUAUACGGAGUGACGCCUGCCCGGUGCCGGAAGGUUAAGUGAUGGGGUGCAAGCUCUUGAUCGAAGCCCCGGUAAACGGCGGCCGUAACUAUAACGGUCCUAAGGUAGCGAAAUUCCUUGUCGGGUAAGUUCCGACCCGCACGAAUGGCGUAACGAUGGCCACACUGUCUCAACCCGAGACUCAGCGAAGUUGAAAUGUUUGUGAAGAUGCAAUCUCCCCGCUGCUAGACGGAAAGACCCCGUGAACCUUUACUGUAGCUUUGCAUUGGACUUUGAACAGGCUUGUGUAGGAUAGGUGGGAGGCUUUGAAGCUGAGACGCUAGUUUCAGUGGAGCCGUCCUUGAAAUACCACCCUGGUGUGUUUGAGGUUCUAACCUGGGUCCAUCAUCUGGAUCGGGGACCGUGCAUGGUAGGCAGUUUGACUGGGGCGGUCUCCUCCCAAAGUGUAACGGAGGAGUUCGAAGGUUACCUAGGUACGGUCGGACAUCGUACUGAUAGUGCAAUGGCAAAAGGUAGCUUGACUGCGAGACCGACAAGUCGAGCAGGUGCGAAAGCAGGACAUAGUGAUCCGGUGGUUCUGAAUGGAAGGGCCAUCGCUCAACGGAUAAAAGGUACUCCGGGGAUAACAGGCUGAUUCCGCCCAAGAGUUCAUAUCGACGGCGGAGUUUGGCACCUCGAUGUCGGCUCAUCACAUCCUGGGGCUGUAGCCGGUCCCAAGGGUAUGGCUGUUCGCCAUUUAAAGUGGUACGUGAGCUGGGUUUAAAACGUCGUGAGACAGUUUGGUCCCUAUCUGCAGUGGGCGUUGGAAGUUUGAGGGGGGCUGCUCCUAGUACGAGAGGACCGGAGUGGACGCAUCUCUGGUGUACCGGUUGUGACGCCAGUCGCAUCGCCGGGUAGCUAUAUGCGGAAGAGAUAAACGCUGAAAGCAUCUAAGCGUGAAACUCGCCUCAAGAUGAGACUUCCCUGGAGACUUGAUCUCCCUGAAGGGCCGUGGAAGACCACCACGUUGAUAGGUCGGGUGUGGAAGCGCAGUAAUGCGUUAAGCUAACCGAUACUAAUUACCCGUGAGGCUUGAUCCU
rnacentral:rRNA from 1 species